AUUGAACGCUGGCGGCAGGCCUAACACAUGCAAGUCGAACGGUAACAGGAAGCAGCUUGCUGCUUUGCUGACGAGUGGCGGACGGGUGAGUAAUGUCUGUGAAAUUGCCUGAUGGAGGGGGUUAACUACUGGAAACGGAAGCUAAUACCGCAUAACGUCGCAAGACCAAAGAGGGGGACCUUCGGGCCUCUUGCCAUCGGCUGUGCCCAGAUGGGAUUAGCUAGUAGGUGGGGUAACGGCUCACCUAGGCGACGAUCCCUAGCUGGUCUGAGAGGAUGACCGGCCACACUGGAACUGAGACACGGUCCAGACUCCUACGGGAGGCAGCAGUGGGGAAUAUUGCACAAUGGGCGCAAGCCUGAUGCAGCCAUGCCGCGUGUAUGAAGAAGGCCUUCGGGUUGUAAAGUACUUUUAGCGGGGAGGAAGGGAGUAAUGUUAAUACCUUUGCUCAUUGACGUUACCCGCUGAAGAAGCACCGGCUAACUCCGUG
rnacentral:rRNA from 1 species